rnacentral:rRNA from 1 species
CACGUAGGCACCAAGCGUUGUCCGGAUUUAUUGGGCGUAAAGAGCUCGUAGGCGGUUCGGCAAGUCGAAUGUGAAAUCUCCACGCUCAACGUGGAGGGGUCAUUCGAUACUGCCGUGACUCGAGUCCGGUAGGGGAGUGUGGAAUUCCCGGUGUAGCGGUGAAAUGCGCAGAGAUCGGGAGGAACACCCGUAGCGAAGGCGGCACUCUGGGCCGGUACUGACGCUGAGGAGCGAAAGCGUGGGGAGCAAACAGG